rnacentral:rRNA from 1 species
CCUACGGGUGGCAGCAGUGGGGAAUAUUGCGCAAUGGGGGAAACCCUGACGCAGCAACGCCGCGUGAAUGAAGAAGGCCUUAGGGUUGUAAAGUUCUGUUUUCUGGGACGAUACUGACGGUACCAGAGGAGGAAGCCACGGCUAACUACGUGCCGGCAGCCGCGGUAAUACGAAGGGGGCACGCGUGGUCCGGAUUUACUGGGCGUAAAGGAUGCGUAGGCGGAUGUUUAAGUGAGAUGUGAAAUACCCGAGCUCAACUUGGGUGCUGCAUUUCAAACUGGAUAUCUAGAGUGCAGGAGAGGAAAGCGGAAUUCCUAGUGUAGCGGUGAAAUGCGUAGAGAUUAGGAAGAACACCAGUGGCGAAGGCGGCUUUCUGGACUGUAACUGACGCUGAGGCAUGAAAGCGUGGGGAGCAAACAGGAUUAGAUACCCGAGUAGUC